CGUCGGAGUUUUCAGUUUUUCCUAGAUGCAAUGAAACACUGUGUGAUGCCCAUACUGUUAUGUAUAUUGUUUCAACUGAAGCACUAACAAGGUCUAGCCUCACCAGCCCACCAAUGUGAACAGACUGUCCUGCCUGCAACAUAAAGAUUCAGCAGAACCAGCUUAGUUCUUGGAACAAGAAAACAGUUCAAGUCUAUUCUUUCUUGGAACAGUUCAUUUGCUUAGAAUUAGAAGAAGCUAGGCCUGAGAUUUUGAACCGAAUCAAAUCAAAUUUUCGGUUAGUUCAAUUAGGAGUUCGGUUCGAUUCAGUUGGUUUUAAGAAAAAGUUUGGUUUUCGGUUCAACAAUCGGUUACUUCAGUUUUCUCAAAACAAAAAUUAUAACCAGACCAUACCAAAAAUCCGAACCAAACUAACUACAUUAUGAACUAAACUAACCAAAUUUAACCAAACUUAUCUGCAAUUUUAACAAAACUAAACCAAAAUCUAACCAAAAUACGAAAUUUCAGUAGGAUUUUCAAAAACCAAACUAACCGAACUUUACUUCGGGAUAAUUAGGUAAGAUUUAUGUCAAACCGAACUAACCGAAAAACUGAACUACCCAAACCGAACAACCUAGAAGAAGCUCUCUAGUGUUUAAAACUUGAGGAUAGAAAAACUUUAUAUAUAAGUAAAAGAGGGCUUGCCUUGACUCUGUAAGACCGAGGUUGAAGCUCCUUCCUAAUCUCCACCAUUUUCCGCUCCUCCGAGUUCAAUCUAAGAGACAUAAUGUAAGGAUGCAAAAGACCAGGAGUGUCAUACAUCUUCGCCUUUGCAGACAACACUCCACCAAUCCUCAAUAUCCCCAGAGUUGUUCCAGGAACCGGAGCCUCCGUGAGCCUCGUGACCUUUGCACCGUCUUUCUUGGAGAAGGCAUUGAUCAAAGUAGACUUCCCAGCAUUCUGAGCUCCAAUAACCCACACGUUUCCUCUAGGACCAGCCAGUUCCUUGAUGUAAGCUAACAGGUUCUUGAUACCAAGAUCUUUCCUAGCACUGACCAUAUACACACCACUCAGCCUAGGCGCUCCUCCAGCCUUGGCACGAUGGCGCACCCAUCUGUCUAACCUCGCUGGUGAAAUCUGCGAUGGGAGUAAGUCUACUUUUGUAGCAACGAGCACGAGUUUGGGUAGGUUCUUGCCCACCUUAGGAUCGUUCUCAGCCUUCUGAAGCGCCUUGAACAAAGAGUUUGCUGCUCGUUUGGGGAAAGAGCCAUCAAAGUCCACACAGUCAACAACCAUGACUACAACUGUAGUACUUGAGUUCCUACUCAUUGGUUUUAUCAGUCUAGUUGAGAUCAUUCUAUCGAAAUCGAAAUCAGGUAAGAGAUUCUCAGCAGCUUGGUUCUUCACUUGGCCGUAGUUUCUCAGAGAAUGGCAACGAGCACAUACUGUUACAUCAUCAUCAUCUUUAUCCUUCUUGGCUUCCUCUCUAGCUAGCUUCUUCCUCUCUGAUUUCGAAACUCGUUUCUUCUCGACCAUCUCCUCUGUUACAUUACCGUAUCCAACACCAGCUGGAGCAAAGCCAUCUAGCUCAACAUCGUUUCCUUCCUCCUUCUCUUCCCACUCAUCUGACUCCCAGUCAAACUCAUCCUCACUCUCAGAGUCACUACUCUCUAAUACAUUCGUGACAUCAUCAUCCACAUCAUCCUCCUCAUCAUCAUCAUCAACCAUUUCAAACCCAUCAAGCUCAUCUUCAGCCACCUCCUCCAAGCUCUUUACAACGACCUUUCUCUUCUGAUAAUACCCGGGCGAAUCAGAAUCACUGUCCUGCAUAAAAAUCCCACAACCUGGACAGACAAGCUUCCCAUACUCCUCAUCUUCAUCUCUCCCUUCACUCAUCAUUGCCUUCUUGGGAAAGAUUGUCCCUUUAACUCUCUCCACGCUUUCAACAACUUGCUCUUUCUUCACAGCUAAACACUUCACAACACAUGUCUUCUUCUUCCUCUUCGUCUCACUCAACCCUAUUGAAAAAGUUGAGACCUUUCCUCAGAAUCCCAUCACCAAAACGAGUCUCAACAAAGAAGAGAGAAUAUUACCUGAGAAAAAUUGAAAGUCCGGUCUGGGUAUGAACCGGUUAACGCUAAAGCUUGCGUCUUUAAGCUUUGGCUUUACUCUGCAAAUGUUCACUGUACUUGAAAUCAAAACCACCAUCUUCGUUUCAGCAGACUUGUGAAGAAAUCGCGCCGGGAUAAGCCAACUCCGAGUGAGAGCCAAAAACGCAGCGUAUUGGCUCGAACUUUCGAUACUUCAAAACUUUACAACUCUAAACCCUACAAGUAAUUACGUAAACACCCUUCAAACUAUAUCUUUUAUGUUUUGUAAUGGACUCGUAUAAUUAAUUGUCUUUUCUUAUACGUGGAAUACGUUAAAGACUCAAACUUUAAAACAGAGACGAUAAGGUUGGGAGACCCAUCACGCGGACAAGAACUGAGCUUAAACCCCAUUUGAUAACUUUUGUGGGAGCUCCGACGAACAAAAAUGGCGGCAAAGUUUAUAGGCGGAGGCUGUUCAUGGCGGCGCUUUUCAGGAAACUUGGACAAGAGAGCAGCAACAGCAUCAUCUCGAGUUCUUAUCUUCUCUGUUCGGUCCUCUCAUUCCAUGGAUGACAUGGACACUGUCUAUAAGCAAUUGGGUAUCUCUCCUCUUCAUCUAAAUAUUGUGUCAUUGACCUGAAGCUGAUGAGUCUUCAUAUAAAGUUGGGAGCUUUAAGCUUUUGAAAAGUGUAUUUUUUUUUUUGUGAAUUUUGCUUUGGUAUUUGUGUAAAAAUCUUGUUUUAAAAUUUGGUCUCAGGACUGUUCUCACUAAAGAAGAAGAUCAAAGAUGUUGUUCUCAAGGCGGAGAUGUUAGCACCUGAUGCUCUUGAGCUAGAAGAAGAGCAAUGGAUUAAGCAAGAAGAGACAUUGCGUUACUGUGACUUAUGGGAUGAUCCAACCAAAUCUGAUGAGAUUUUUCUCAAGCUAGCUGCUCGUGCCAAAGCAGUUGAUACUCUCAAAGACCUCAAGUACAAGGUUCUUUUUGGUUUUACUUCAAACAACUCUUCUUCAUUUGCAAGACGUUUAGUUUUGAGUGUGUUUUUGUUGAUUAGGCCGAAGAAGCUAAGCUAAUCAUACAGUUAGAUGAGAUGGAUGCUAUAGACUACAGUCUUUUUGAGCAAGCUUAUGAUUCAUCCCUCGAUGUGAGCAGAUCCUUGCAUCACUAUGAGAUGUCUAAGCUUCUUAGUGAUCAGUAUGACUCUGAAGGAGCGUGUAUGGUUAUCAAAUCUGGAGCUCAUGACACAAAAUCUCAAGUCAGUUUCAACAUUCUCAAGAACCUUUCUGUCUUUACUUUCUAUAUGUUCUUAUAACAUUUUUUUGAUGAUUUGCAGAUGUGGACAGAACAAAUUGUAAGCAUGUACAUCAAGUGGGCAGAGAAGCUAGGCCAAAACGCAAGAGUGGCUGAGACCUUGAGGAAUAGAAAUGGCGUGAGUUCAGCCACAAUAGAGUUUGAAUUCGAGUUUGCUUAUGGCUAUCUCUUAGGUGAGAGAGGCGUGCACCGUCUUAUCACAAGUUCUACAACCAGUGAGGUAUAUAUAUUAUGCUUCUCAUGAUGAAUCAACUCUCCAUUUGUUAAAGAGCUAAGAAGAUGUUUUCUUUGUGAUAGGUUUCUUCAGCGUCUGUAGAGAUCAUACCGCUGUUCUUGAGAGCUUCUCCUGAUUUUGAAGUGAAGGAUGAGGAUUUGGUUGUAACGUAUCCUGCAAAAGAGAAUCAUAAACUAGCUGAGCAGAUGGUUCGUAUUCAGCAUCUUCCGAGUGGCAUAACUGUAGAAUCUUCAGGUAUUCUUGAGUUGUGUAACACUUUGGUUAAGUGCAUUUUGUGCAAGAUUAUGAUAUAAGAUAUGUUUUGAUGCAGGAGAAAGAAACCGGUUUGCUAAUAGGAUCAAAGCUCUAAACCGGUUAAAGGCAAAGCUGCUUGUGAUAGCUAAAGAACAGAAGGUUUCAGAUGUGUAUAAAAUCAACGGCAAGAACAUUGUGGAGCCAUGGAGAGUAGAAGAAACCAGGAGAUAUGUCUCUAAAGGUCAGAAGAUGGUGGUUGAUUUGAAAACCGGUUUAGAGAUUUUGGACCUUAAAUCGGUUUUGGAUGGGAACAUUGGGCCACUUCUUGGAGCUCAUAUUGGCAUGAGAAGAUCCAUUGAUGCCAUUUAAUUAAUUGAGGCUUUUUUGUUGUACACAUAAAAUAGUCAAACCACUACAAGAAAACGUAACUUUAACAAGGAAGUUUAACGAGGAAAAAUAAUCCUCGUAAAAAAACGUUGAUUUUGCGAGGAAAGUACGUUGAGAAAGAAAAGCAUCGUUAUUUCGUCGUAAGUUAACGACAAAAAAUAUUCGUCGUAAAGACGAUGUAAAUUGACGUGGCUUUUACGAGGAAAUAGUUUUUCCUCGUAAAAUCCACGUAAAUUUCGCGAGUGCUUUACGACGAAAUAUUUUACGUGUACUUAACGAGGAAAUUUUGAAUCCACCAACUUGGUAGGUGGCUCACGUUUUUUUUUUGGCCAUACAAUUAAUUUUCGUCGUAAUUUCAUAGUAAAAUUACAACUACCAGAUUCGAAAUUUUCUAUAAAUAUGGAUGUUGGAACAUCAUUUUAAACACACCAACAACAAAAAACGUGAAAGAAAAAAAAAUGGCUGGCUCUGGGACUAUUUACGAGUUGCGGAAUUGGAUGUAUAUGCAUAGAGAUGCUAACGGGAGAGUGACGAAAGAAUACCUUGCGGGAUAGAAAAACUUUAUAUAUAAGUAAAAGAGGGCUUGCCUUGACUCUGUAAGACCGAGGUUGAAGCUCCUUCCUAAUCUCCACCAUUUUCCGCUCCUCCGAGUUCAAUCUAAGAGACAUAAUGUAAGGAUGCAAAAGACCAGGAGUGUCAUACAUCUUCGCCUUUGCAGACAACACUCCACCAAUCCUC
rnacentral:lncRNA from 1 species